GUGGGGUGCCUGAGAAUAUGCAGUGCUGUUGGUCCCACUGGUCCGAGGCCCACGCUUUGAGUAGCAAGACACUGAAUGAUAGAAAUGGAACCAGUUGGCCAAUGAGGAGCAGUGAUGUGAUGGCCAAAUGGUCCCUAUGCUUAGAUAUCUGAGCAGAGUGCCAAGGGAAGGCAGAGUUGCAGCAAAAAACGGGAGGAAGCAUCAACUUGCUUAGCAUACAAGAUACGUUUGAAGGUUGAGGAGACAUGACAGCAUUCUCAUGGAGAAAUAACUGAUGAUGACUUUUUCCGACGGCCGAUUUAUUCCUGGCCUGGGCAUGGAUGAGUUGCCUGCAGCUGAAGCAGCCAUCUUGUGUCCCAAGACAAAGCCCGCGAGAAUAAUAGAGGUUGGCCCAGAAAUCAUUAAAAUCCAUGUCGGCA